rnacentral:rRNA from 1 species
GCCUUUCGGGGUGGAUCAGUGGCGAACGGGUGAGUAACACGUGGGCAAUCUGCCCUGCACUCUGGGACAAGCCCUGGAAACGGGGUCUAAUACCGGAUAUUACCUUCCUCUGCAUGGGGGUUGGUGGAAAGCUCCGGCGGUGCAGGAUGAGCCCGCGGCCUAUCAGCUUGUUGGUGGGGUAAUGGCCUACCAAGGCGACGACGGGUAGCCGGCCUGAGAGGGCGACCGGCCACACUGGGACUGAGACACGGCCCAGACUCCUACGGGAGGCAGCAGUGGGGAAUAUUGCACAAUGGGCGAAAGCCUGAUGCAGCGACGCCGCGUGAGGGAUGACGGCCUUCGGGUUGUAAACCUCUUUCAGCAGGGAAGAAGCGAAAGUGACGGUACCUGCAGAAGAAGCACCGGCUAUCUACGUGCCAGCAGCCGCGGUAAUACGUAGGGUGCGAGCGUUGUCCGGAAUUAUUGGGCGUAAAGAGCUCGUAGGCGGCUUGUCGCGUCGGUUGUGAAAGCCCGGGGCUUAACCCCGGGUCUGCAGUCGAUACGGGCAGGCUAGAGUUCGGUAGGGGAGAUCGGAAUUCCUGGUGUAGCGGUGAAAUGCGCAGAUAUCAGGAGGAACACCGGUGGCGAAGGCGGAUCUCUGGGCCGAUACUGACGCUGAGGAGCGAAAGCGUGGGGAGCGAACAGGAUUAGAUACCCUGGUAGUCCACGCCGUAAACGUUGGGAACUAGGUGUGGGCGACAUUCCACGUCGUCCGUGCCGCAGCUAACGCA